rnacentral:rRNA from 1 species
UGACCCGUCUUGAAACACGGACCAAGGAGUCUAGCGUGUGCGCGAGUCAUUGGGUGAAAAACCUAAAGGCGCAAUGAAAGUAUCAGGGGGGCCUUCUACGGAAGUGCCCCCUGUAGGGAGGAUGGGCCACCGGUUUUUUAACCGGAGCCCCGCACUCCCGGGGCGUCUCGUUCUCAUUGCGAGUUGAGACGCACCAGGAGCGCACACGCUGGUACCCGAAAGAUGGUGAACUAUGCCUGGCCAGGACGAAGCCAGGGGAAACCCUGGUGGAGGUCCGAAGCGAUUCUGACGUGCAAAUCGAUCGUCUGAGCUGGGUAUAGGGGCGAAAGACCAAUCGAACCAUCUAGUAGCUGGUUCCCUCUGAAGUUUCCCUCAGGAUAGCA